CCUCCCUUUCCUUCUUUAUCAACCUUCAGAUCUUUUGUUUCAGUCGAUUCUGGCUUCACACUUGCAGACUCCUCCUCAUGUAGCUUCUUCUUAGGUGUGUUAUCAGUAACACCUGCUGCUUUCCUUUUCUUGUUAGCUUUACCUUUAGGUGAAGCUUUUUCAAUGGCUUCAUUAGCUUUACUUUUAGGUGAAGCUUUUUCAAUGGAUUCCUUGUUAUCAUUUUCCUUAACAGCUGAAUCAUCAGAUACAAUUCUCCCUACAUCACCUUCCUCCAUCAUCUCAUCUUUCACAUCAGCCUUUGACUCUUCAACUUUCUCAUCAACCUCAAGACUCAUC
rnacentral:lncRNA from 1 species